GAUGAACGCUGGCGGCGUGCCUAAUACAUGCCAGUCGAGCGAACAGAUGAGGAGCUUGCUCCUCUGACGUUAGCGGCGGACGGGUGAGUAACACGUGGAUAACCUACCUAUAAGACUGGAUAACUUCGGGAAACCGGAGCUAAUACCGGAUAAUAUAUUUAACCGCAUGGUUCAAUAGUGAAAGACGGUUUUGCUGUCACUUAUAGAUGGAUCCGCGCCGCAUUAGCUAGUUGGUAAGGUAACGGCUUACCAAGGCAACGAUGCGUAGCCGACCUGAGAGGGUGAUCGGCCACACUGGAACUGAGACACGGUCCAGACUCCUACGGGAGGCAGCAGUAGGGAAUCUUCCGCAAUGGGCGAAAGCCUGACGGAGCAACGCCGCGUGAGUGAUGAAGGUCUUCGGAUCGUAAAACUCUGUUAUUAGGGAAGAACAAAUGUGUAAGUAACUAUGCACGUCUUGACGGUACCUAAUCAGAAAGCCACGGCUAACUACGUG
rnacentral:rRNA from 1 species